rnacentral:rRNA from 1 species
UACCAAAUAGCGUUCCGUGGCGGUAAAUACGCCUGACGGGCAGCUUCCCGGAAACGAAAGUGUUUCGGUUCCGGGGGAAGUAUGCUUGCAAAGCUGAAACUAAAGAAAUUGACGGAAGGGCACCACCAGGAGGGAGCCUGCGUUUAAUUUGACUCAACACGGGAAAACUCACCUGGCCCGGACACCGUGAGGAUUGACAGAUUGAGAGCUCUUUCAUGAUUCGGUGGUUGGUGGUGCAUGGCCGUUCUUAGUUGGUGGAGUGAUUUGUCUGGUUUAUUCCGAUAACGAGCGAGACUCUAGCCUACUAAAUAGUUACUGGAUAAAAAUCACGAAAGUCCAGCAAACUUCUUAGAGGGACAAGCGGUAUUUUAGCCGCAUGAAGUUGAGCAAUAACAGGUCUGUGAUGCCCUUAGAUGUCCAGGGCUGCACGCGCGCUACACUGGAGGAAUCAGCGUGCUGUAACCAUUGCCGAAAGGUAUUGGUAACCCCUUGAAAAUCCUCCGUGAUCGGGAUCGGGAAUUGCAAUUAUUUCCCUUGAACGAGGAAUUCCUAGUAAGUGUGAGUCAUCAGCUCACGUUGAUUACGUCCCUGCCCUUUGUACACACCGCCGUGUCGCUGCCCGGGACUGAGCCGUUGCGAGAAAAGCGGGGAUUGCCUGUUUCUC